UCUGGGGGAGAGCGUUGGAGUCUGGGGAAAAGCCACCUGCAGCAGAAGAGCCGGUGGCGCUCCGACAGGCUCUGCUCCGCUCCACUGUCAGCGGCUCUUCCCCGGACUCCAAUGCUCGGCCCCGGA